rnacentral:lncRNA from 1 species
AAGGGAGAAAGGCAAACCAGCUUAUUAUCACAUGGUAGAGUAUUUUAAACAUGUUUAGGGCGGAGCACAUUAUGUUUAUCAUGUUUUGCACAACAACAAAUGUGACCUUUGGAAGAUAGCCCUCCUCUAAUUAAACUCGCACAACAACAUGCUAAACUUGCACAUCGUGUUCAUCUCGGUGAGCUCAUGAAGUACUAGAGUGUGAGGGAAUGAUACUUAUGAGCACUCUGAUGAUGAAACUAGUGCAACUUUGCUUUGGUGAAACUAGUGCACUACUACAGGAUGGUAUAGCACGCUUCCUUUUUCCCUAUGAAAAUGAAGAUUUUAAUGAUCUGAUAGCAGCUGGCAAAACAAAUGAUUGCGAAGAUGUUUGGAGAUGAUAAUGAUACUUGUGCGCACUCUAAUGAUGAACACAUAGAGGAACAUUUGGUCCGUCAACGUAUUUCAGAUUAGCACGUCAAAUCGCACUCGAGACCUGUCACCAACUCCUCCAUCACUUUCCAAAGGUAAAUCAGCUUAUUAUCACAUGGUAGUAUGUUUGAAACAUGUUUAGGGCACAACACAUUACAUUUAUCAUCUUUUGCACAACAACAAAUGUGACCUUUGGAAGAUAGCCCUCCUCUAAACUUGUGAUGCAUUGUAAUGAUAUGUCAUGUAUGUCUCACUUGUAUCAUAGCUGUUAAAGUACCACAGCAAAUCGCACUCGAGAUCUCUGACCAACUCCUCCACUACUUUCCAAGGCAAAUCAGCCAAACUCCUUGUUAUAUUCCAC